rnacentral:tRNA from 1 species
GGGUAUAGCUCAGGGGUAGAGCACUUGCCUAGCAUGCUUGAGCCCCUGGGUUCAAUAUCCAACACUGCA